rnacentral:lncRNA from 1 species
UUUAACUGAACACCAACUUCUCAACAGAGCUCUGCUGUUCUCCUGCAGAGGCGCAGUGCUAAGGAAGAUGGAAAGUGCAGCUAAUCAUUCUUUAGACUAUCAGCACACAAGAACACCUCUCACUUGAAAAAGGCUACUGUUGAGUAUUACAGUCAGUGCUGCCCAUGGACUAGCAUCCUCAGUAAAGCCAUUCCAUCACUUUGCCAAAAUGAUCUGUCUUUUACAUUGUUAUCUUAAAUUUAAGCCUUUUGUUACCAGAUGCUAAUACAAUAUUAACCCGUUCUCUGUGUCAAUUUGUGAUAUUUGUAUGUGUAUUCUAAAAGCCCAUUAAAUGAUAAUCAAAGAAUCACAGAAUCACAGAAAACAAUGUAUAUAUGAAAAAGUCCAAAUGAGCUUCUAGUACUACUGCUUAUUACAUUUCAGCUCAUUUUCCUAAUAAAAUAAAACUCAUAGUUUUUGUGAGUUUAUAU